GGCUCUGUAGCUUAGUUGGUUGAGGCACCUGUCUAGUAAACAGGAUGAUCCUGGGUUUGAAUCCCAGCGUGAGCCU
rnacentral:tRNA from 1 species